CCCCCCUUUGCUCCUGACAUUAUGUUCAGCCUAUUGACCCCUGCACACCUAACACAAGCAACUGUCAUCGCACGGGGUGGCGGGGCCGACAGAACCCCAUCGCUCCAACGCUCAGCGCCCAUAAUUUGCUCACCUUCCAAGUUCCAUCGCAACUAAAGUUGAGGUUUCAACUGAAGACUCCAAACAACUUCAAAGGCCAGGAAAACAUCCAGAGUACCAAGGACAACAACCACCUGUAAAAGAAAAAUAAAGUUGUGGGACAGAUGCUCCUAGAUGAACAGAAGAUCCAAAAGGCCAAGACAACUCCAG